AAUCAUGAUUAAAUAAAAUUGUAGCCGAGUAUAAAAAUUUCCAAACCUCUUUUCUUCUUUGACUCCUCCUUUUGGAGUUUCUUCAGCUUCAAUCACAGAGAAUAAGAGAAAGCCCUAAACUCAAAUCUUCUCUUCUUUUUUUCUUUUCCGAGAAAAAGUUUUGGGAGUUUUUACUUAUUACCCGAGAAGAAACACAAGAAAACAACCUUUCCCGCCUAAAAGUUUCUUUCUUUUUUUCCUCUUUAAGAGAAAAUUUAACAAUUUCUUAUAUAUAGAAUCAGUUGAAUAUUCAACAACCAUCUUCGUUUAGGUCUUCUUGUUGAAUUUCUUGAAUCAAAGUCAUGGAUUUUCCUGAAAAGUCGCUUAAAGUGAGGAUCCCGGUGAAAGCUCCGGUGAGUUCUAAGCCAGAGAAAGAAGAACAACAAGAAAAGAAAGAGGAAGAAGAAGAUAGAUUCACAACUCCAAAGGGGGAGGAAUUUAGAAUUCCGCCGCUAUUUGAGUGUCCUCUGGCACCGGAGCCACGCAUCUUCAAGAAAAAAAUCGAAAAACGUCGCCAAAAAGCCGUCGGGCAAAGGAAUAUAUCCUUUAACGUUCAAGAUUUAGAUACUUUCUUCGCAAGAACACAAAACGUUGCAGAUGAUUCUUGAUACAUAUUUAGGUUUAUAGUUAGUUAGUUAAUUCCUUAUUAACUGAAUAAUUUGCAGGAGUUUUUAUUCAAUUUUUAUUUUAA